UACGUAGGGUGCAGGCGUUAAUCGGAAUUACUGGGCGUAAAGCGUGCGCAGGCGGUCUUUUAAGUCAGAUGUGAAAUCCCCGGGCUUAACCUGGGAACUGCGUUUGAAACUGAAAGGCUAGAGUGUGGCAGAGGGGGGUGGAAUUCCACGUGUAGCAGUGAAAUGCGUAGAGAUGUGGAGGAACACCGAUGGCGAAGGCAGCCCCCUGGGCUAACACUGACGCUCAUGCACGAAAGCGUGGGGAGCGAACAGG
rnacentral:rRNA from 1 species